UUCACCACCCAUCCUGUGAGCUUGCCCAGCACUGAGUCCAGGGGAGCCUGGGUGAAAGGGAGCCCUGUCUCUCCAGAGCAAGAUGAUUGGCGUUGGAAGCAGAGUCCCUGAUUCCAUCAGGCAGCUUGUUUGUGUGAUCCAAGUGGUCUGAUUGAGUCUUGCACCAGUUUGCAGCAUGUAUGCAUUAGUGUGUGUGUGUGUGUGUGUGUGUGUGUGCACGUGCAUGUGCAUGGGGUGCUGAUCAGCUAAGAACUGAAAACUCUUGGGUUCCAAAAGAGAACUAGUUUCUAAUAGUUGAUCAGGACCCUGGAAUUUAGUGAGAGCCCCACGAAAGACAGAAGUGUCCUGUUGAUUCAUGACAGGCUGCUUUGGGGGUGAAAAGGACCCGGAUGUUCGUGUCCACAGUAGACCUGGAACACAGACGGGUGCGUGCAGGAUCCUGGAUUCUUCCCUAGCAUGAGCCUGGGGCCCUCCCUCCUCCUGCCUCUUGGGGGGCAGGUGUAGCCCCCAGCAUUUUCUGGUUGGUCCCAGGUGCAGGGCUUGGCUACUCUUCUGCACAUACGUCCUGGAUCUCUAUGAUUGACAGGUGACACUCGUUCACACAGCCAACUGGCCACUGUCUACUCCCCCGCCUCGCUCUGCUGCCUUCCCUCCUCAUCACCCAGUAUUGCCUGGAUACCAAGGAUGAAAAGAAAGUGAAGAGGCUGCUCCUGCUCAACUGUGGGUAAAGUGAAGAAGAUAUAAAGGGGAGAAGAGAGGAAAGGAAGAGCAGGGUUCUGACUCAGGAGUCUGCUUGUUGACUCUGUAUGCCUUCCUUUGGGAAUCCUCUCUCUCCAUUUUAUAAGAGUGCUCGGUCCCUAUGGUCCAGGAGGAGCCAGCUGCAUCCUUCACCCUCACUGCAAAGGACAGGUGUACCCUAGGCCUGGACAUUUGAGAGUUUUCUUGUGGGGACAACCUUGGAUCCAAAUCCGUCAGCCCUGCCUGUGUGUCUGCUGUGUCUUUCCAGAAUUCUCAAUUCAUCUUCAUCAGGUCACCAGCAUCAAGGACCAUGGAAACUCUGAGCUUCCAGGGUCCUUCUUAGCAUCACAGUUCAGGAAAUUACCUCCAGUUCUGCCAAAGCCACAGAAGGUCUCAUUGGUGUCUUUGUACGCGGGACACUCAGAUACUCUGUGUGACUUUUUCUACCCCCAUUUCCUGAGGAGGAAGCAGAAGAUUUGGGAAAGAGACACGGCUGGCCCCUGGCCUCUUGGCUACCCUGAUGGAAAGAUACCAAAAUACAGUUCCAGGAACCAGACCUGGGACUGUGAGCAGACCCACAUCUUCGUGCUGACACCUCCUUGCUUCACAUGGAGCCGCACCCAUCAGGAGAAAGAGACCAGCUGCAAUGUUAAGGCCUGCUGAAUAUAGUUAAGAUUUCCAUGUGUCAUAUAAGCAUCUUUCAGCAAGUACCAAGUUUGAGAGUGAAGACAACUGUGAAGACAGUAAGAUUCACUAUGAUGCCCAUUCUGGUUUGACUAUUAUCUUCUUUUGAAGUCCUGUAAUGUCUACAAUGUUUUGGUUUUAUUUAAUUUCAUUAUAACUGAUGAUACAGGCAGUUCUUUUUAAGAUAGCAAGAGGCAUUAUGGCAACCUUUGUUGAUCACCUUGUAUUCUGUUUUUAUAUUAUGUACUAUGUCCAUCCUUUUGAUUUGACUGACUCUGUUUUGUUAUGUCAUAUUUGGUUUUAUUCUCUUCAAAAAAAAAGUAAUAAGAACUGUGAGAGUAAUAAAACCCAAAAUGUGUAAUUGUCAUUGUAAAAAAGAGAGGAAAAGAAAGUGCUCUAAAGGAUAUAAUUGCAUGUAUAUUUAAGCGCAUAAGAUAGAUAACCAUAUUACUGAGUUUUUGUUAGAUCAUUGAACAGAACUGUUUGCAGUCUCACUGUUUGAAUGUCCACUUUAUAUGCUUUAAUUUUGUAACUUGAACAACUAUUUCUAAGAUGACAAUAUAUAAUCUAUUAACUAGUGAUUCCCUACUGUUUGUUUUUUUUUUAAAUUCUGUAUAAC